rnacentral:rRNA from 1 species
UACGUAGGGCGCAAGCGUUGUCCGGAAUUAUUGGGCGUAAAGAGCUCGUAGGCGGCCUGUCGCGUCUGCUGUGAAAUCCCGGGGCUUAACCCCGGGCGUGCAGUGGAUACGGGCUGGCUGGAGGCAGGCAGGGGAGAAUGGAAUUCCCGGUGUAGCGGUGAAAUGCGCAGAUAUCGGGAGGAACACCGGUGGCGAAGGCGGGUCUCUGGACAGUUCCUGACGCUGAGGCACGAAGGCCAGGGGAGCAAACGGG